GAUGAACGCUGGCGGCGUGCCUAAUACAUGCAAGUCGAGCGAACAGACGAGGAGCUUGCUCCUCUGACGUUAGCGGCGGACGGGUGAGUAACACGUGGAUAACCUACCUAUAAGACUGGGAUAACUUCGGGAAACCGGAGCUACUACCGGAUAAUAUAUUGAACCGCAUGGUUCAUUAGUGAAAGACGGUUUUGCUGUCACUUAUAGAUGGAUCCGCGCCGCAUUAGCUAGUUGGUAAGGUAACGGCUUACCAAGGCAACGAUGCGUAGCCGACCUGAGAGGAUGAUCGGCCACACUGGAACUGAGACACGGUCCAGACGCCUACGGGAGGCAGCAGUAGGGAAGCUUCCGCAAUGGGCGAAAGCUUGACGGAGCAACGCCGCGUGAGUGAUGAAGGUCUUCGGAUCGUAAAACUCUGUUAUUAGGGAAGAACAAAUGUGUAAGUAACUAUGCACGUCUUGACGGUACCUAAUCAGAAAGCCACGGCUAACUACGUG
rnacentral:rRNA from 1 species